rnacentral:rRNA from 1 species
UACGUAGGGGGCAAGCGUUGUCCGGAAUCAUUGGGCGUAAAGAGCGUGUAGGCGGUCCGGUCAGUCGGUUGUGAAAGUCAAGGGCUCAACCCUUGAAUGCCGGCCGAUACUGCCGGGCUAGAGUCCGGAAGAGGUGAGUGGAAUUCCUGGUGUAGCGGUGAAAUGCGCAGAUAUCAGGAGGAACACCGAUGGCGAAGGCAGGUCUCUGGGCCACUACUGACGCUGAGAAGCGAAAGCGUGGGGAGCGAACAGG